rnacentral:rRNA from 1 species
AGUGAACGCUGGCGGUAGGCCUAACACAUGCAAGUCGAACGGCAGCACAGUAAGAGCUUGCUCUUACGGGUGGCGAGUGGCGGACGGGUGAGGAAUACAUCGGAAUCUACUUUUUCGUGAGGGAUAACGUAGGGAAACUUACGCUAAUACCGCAUACGACCUACGGGUGAAAGCAGGGGAUCUUCGGACCUUGCGCGAUUGAAUGAGCCGAUGUCGGAUUAGCUAGUUGGCGGGGUAAAGGCCCACCAAGGCGACGAUCCGUAGCUGGUCUGAGAGGAUGAUCAGCCACACUGGAACUGAGACACGGUCCAGACUCCUACGGGAGGCAGCAGUGGGGAAUAUUGGACAAUGGGCGCAAGCCUGAUCCAGCCAUACCGCGUGGGUGAAGAAGGCCUUCGGGUUGUAAAGCCCUUUUGUUGGGAAAGAAAAGCAGCAGGUUAAUACCCCGCUGUUCUGACGGUACCCAAGGAAUAAGCACCGGCUAACUUCGUG